rnacentral:rRNA from 1 species
AGUGAACGCUGGCGGUAGGCCUAACACAUGCAAGUCGAACGGCAGCACAGUAAGAGCUUGCUCUUACGGGUGGCGAGUGGCGGACGGGUGAGGAAUACAUCGGAAUCUACUUUUUCGUGGGGGAUAACGUAGGGAAACUUACGCUAAUACCGCAUACGACCUACGGGUGAAAGCAGGGGAUCUUCGGACCUUGCGCGAUUGAAUGAGCCGAUGUCGGAUUAGCUAGUUGGCGGGGUAAAGGCCCACCAAGGCGACGAUCCGUAGCUGGUCUGAGAGGAUGAUCAGCCACACUGGAACUGAGACACGGUCCAGACUCCUACGGGAGGCAGCAGUGGGGAAUAUAGGACAAUGGGCGCAAGCCUGAUCCAGCCAUACCGCGUGGGUGAAGAAGGCCUUCGGGUUGUAAAGCCCUUUUGUUGGGAAAGAAAGGCAGCAGGUUAAUACCCCGCUGUUCUGACGGUACCCAAAGAAUAAGCACCGGCUAACUUCGUG